GCUAGGGUGGCAGAGCUUGGCAAAUGCAGAAGACCUAAGCCCUUCUACCCAGAGGUUCAAAUCCUCUCCCUAGCU
rnacentral:tRNA from 1 species